UACGGAGGGAGCUAGCGUUGUUCGGAAUUACUGGGCGUAAAGCGUGCGCAGGCGGUUCGUUAUGUCCGAUGUGAAAGCCCCGAGCUUAACUUGGGAAUGGCAUUGGAAACUGGCGGGCUGGAGUGCGGCAGAGGGGGGUGGAAUUCCAGGUGUAGCGGUGGAAAUGCGUAGAUAUCUGGAGGAACACCGGUGGCGAAGGCGGCAUCCUGGACCAAUACGUGACGCUGAGGAGCGAAAGCCCAGGGGAGCAAAACGGGG
rnacentral:rRNA from 1 species